AUGGGCAGCGGGCGCGGCCGCCUCGUCUGACCUGCGCAGCUUCUCCAGUGUCGCUCCUGUUUCCAGAAGGGGAAACACGGGAGUUGUGAGUGGGUUGCGAUGGACGGUAUGUAACGUACACAAGGGAGCCAGCGUUUAAUCCAGGUCCAGGCUUCCUCCUCGGUGGGGGGCUCCGAGCAGAGGUAGGACCAAGAAGCGGGAGGCAGCGCCUUCUGGACCCCGCGAGGGCUGCUCUCUUAAGGAAGCUGCGAGGCUCCCCGGCAGCAGCCCAGUCGGAAGUGGGGCCGACUGAAAACAGGAAACGCGGACCAGCCUUCUCACGGUGGCUCAGGCUAGCUGAACCUGAAACAGGCUGAAACUGUACCCGAGUGUACCCCAGGGCCAUGCAAAACACGCUCAGAGAGACUCUGGAAGCGUUCCUUUCGAGUUGGGGCUGGGACGCGCGCCCGCACGUGUGUGUGUGUGUGUGUGUGUGUGUGUGUGUGUGUUGGCAGCGUGGGGUGGAGGUGGGGCUAUGCCCACCCUCCUCCGGCAGCUUCCCUCUCCCACCGAGGAUGCCCCGGGUUGCUGGGAAGCUCCUUGGACAGGUUACCGUUGUAUUUACAGUCCAACACCCCUGCACCAUGCUCAUGAAAACAUAGGCAAGCCAUGGAUACUUAAAACUAAUUUUUUUUUCCUGCUUAUGAAGGUAAUUCAUGUUGGUUUAAGAAAACACAGAAAAGCACACAGGAAAAGAAUCACCCGCAGUCUUAAUCUUCAAGAGUUAAAUAAUAUUUGGUGUUGGUCUCUAUGACUAUCUGCCUUAUCUCCGCUGUGCUCUCUCGGGGCAGAAUCCAGCGUGGGAAGGACUCCCUUCCUUGUUUCUCCUCCCCGUUUUCCCGGAGGGCCUCACGUGUCUGUGUGCACAGCAGGUGCUGACCGAGCACCGUG